rnacentral:lncRNA from 1 species
GUCUACCAUGUUACGACGCAAGACUGUAAGGCCCCCUGGCUGUAAGGCCCUCCCGUAGCCCUACUACUUUUAGGGUUAAUGGCAUAAAGAAGUUCCCCUAGGGACGUAGGCGCGGUUCAACUGGCAGUAUGGCAUCGAUGCUUCGCUUUCUUCACACUCGUUUCUUCAUAUCUGAAGUGCCUCGGCUUCCUACUGUGAGACGUCAAGCCGAUAUUUGCAGAAGCUAAUGCGAGAACUAUACUGAGAAUGAAAUCACCAACUUUUAGCUUUUGCUGUCGCGGCUCGUCAUAGUCGGGAUGCGUUAGUCCAUGAUUUGUUAAUACUAUUAUGGCAUAUCCAUGAACGUUUUUCCAUUAAGCAACAUUUCUCUAAAACGUGCGGAAAUCGUUGGACAUGAGUCGGUAAAGGGUUUGCCUGCCCCCGUACCGGUAUGCGGAAUCAUGCUCCUGAGCAGCAUUUACGACAACAAGUUUAAGCAUGAUAUGGUAAUGUAUGCAACAUUGUUUAUGGUUCCUGUGUGCAGGAUCCAGGCAACGGAUGGAAUGCUUUACGAUGGCUGACAGCUGCUCUGGCGGAUUUCAAAGAUAACCUUUCACUUGCAUCAUUUUUCCCUCAUAAAUUUCAAAAAUGUACUGCUUAUAUAUUUUAUGGAGCUUUUGGGAUCCACUGUUUUAGGAACGGGUACGCGUAAGGAAUGUGAGUAAAGGUUGCUGGCAGCCGGUAUAGCAAAAGGGUACCUUAUAAUACACGAUGCAAACGGUUAUAAUUAUCAAAACUCUUCAGAGUCAGUCGUGCAGCAUGUAAACGCGUUCGGUAUGCAGGACACGGUUGGAUUCUGGAAGAAAAUAGUUUGGCGAAAGUGCAACGCCGGGUGCUUCCCAAAUGCUACAGCUACGUAAACAUAAGAAUCUAACUACUGCAGGUCACCAGCUCGCACAAGGCUCGCCUUCCGCUCCAGCACCGUAACAAGGCCGCCGCCGCCGCGUCGUACAACAGAAAACAUCGUCAGCAUAAUCGUAAUAAUAUAUAUCGUAUGAUAAGGUGCAGCAACAGUCGCAGCAAUUUAUGUAUACCAAUACCAUCAAACGGGGCAGACAACUGCGAUAAAACACCGUGUAGAGUCCUAUUGCUCUCCCCUUCUCUCUCUCACUCUCACUCUCUCACACUCUUUCUCUCACUCUCUCUCACACACACACACUCACACACACUGAAAGGGGUUUAAGACGUCUUCUGUGUCAGCGGGUUACCUGGUGAACCUACCUGUGUAGGGCCGAUGGAAACUGUCAAAAUUAAUUGUAUGGUACUAUCCGAGGUUUGCUCUGCUAUCAAAGGACACAGGCCGAAAUAUGCAACGCCCAGACCGACAAGCGGUCUCUGCUCCCUUUGCAAUUUUGCAAAAAGCACCAUCCAGCGCGCGCAGCAUCGAUAUGACACAAACAUGUAUCACACCGAGGCUUGCUCCUGCAUAAAAGCACUGCAAUACGGGCUCAUGACGACAUACCGGGUGUCACUAGCGCUUUGGGUGGCUGACAGCGGAUCAGGAGAACGGUGGGUGAGACGCAACGUUCGCAUCAAGAGCUUAAAUCGCGUGUGGACGUACUGCGGCCAUCCUGGUUAGGAUGUUCCCGCACAUUCCUGUAUGCAACGCAUGCGCUUCCGUAACUCAAGCCCACACAGAACCUACCGCAUUAAAUACGUUCCCUAGCCCGUGCGCGAAAAUAGGCCCCCCCGCAGUGAAACCUAUGACCUAUGAGAGAUACGCAGGAUAGGUCGUACAAGAGCAAACGAACAUUUG